AGAAAGCCUGCUGGUAGCAAUGAAGACCCAGCACAGCCAAAUAAAUAGAUACAGUUUAAAAAACAAAAGAAAUGGUUCUGAGAUCAUCAAAAAGCUAUACAACGUUAGUUACUGAAACUACAGAAAAUUCAAGUUUCCGAAACUUUUGCAUUCUGAUCACUACCCACAUUGCAGCAAGGAGAGAAUGUCAGUUGUCUUAAGCCAGUGUUCUGCAGUUUCCUGUCUAGGCACGUUCUGGAUGACAGAACCAGGAAAGGGUUUGGACUCUCUCUUGAUUGGGGGGCCCUGGACUAUUGAGAAAUUUAUAAGAGAAUUUGUUCCCAGGCCAAUCUGGGUGUGGGGAAAGAGCUGGAAUCAGGACCCAGACUUCUUUGGCCAGCUGUUUCAAGCAAGUAAGGAACUUGACAAAAAACUAUGUGAUCCUUAUAAAACAUUUGAUGAUUUGGGAGCCAGUGAGAAGAUGAAGCCCAACAGAUGUGAUUUGGGAUUAGCUGCUGACCUAAUAGCUGCCCAAACAGACUAAGACAAAGGCUGUCUUAGGGAGUAUUACCACACUGAUUCCCUUAAUCUUGAAAACCAGGAAGAAAACAAAUUUGCUGAUACCGUGUUUAAGAGAAAAGGUCAGUUUAAAACUGUUGUCUGUCCAGAUCACUUGCCUCAUCUUUUUCUAAACUAAUUUUUAACAAAUAUCUGGUCUGUUUCAAAGAUAAGCCAUGACCAGAAAGACAUGCAUAAUUAGUGCAACUUCUGGUUAAACAAACUGGAAAUUUGUUUUUAGGCUUCCCUCCCCCAAAACCCUACUAAAAUGAUACUGAAGGAAUAUAAAAGGGCCUAACCCCCACAGGAGUCAGGAGAUAUCAGGAGAGGAGGAAAUUUCAACCAGUUUUUGAAAGACAGAGAUGGAGUAGAGAGAGGCACCUAAAUUAGCCCAGUGGAGGAAGACUGCGUUUUAACUGUCUGCUGACCCCAUGAAGCAGUACUGUGUAAAGUGGGUCAAGAGACACAGGGUGAAAACAGCAGAACAUAAAGAUAGAUCAAAGGCCCGUUCCUCCUCCCCUUAAAGCAAGGUGACUACCAGACCAAGCAGGAAACUGUAGAUUCAGUGUAUAGAAACUAAAUCGUAAAGAUGUUGCUGAUGUCAUGUAGAAUUAGAAACACAAAGAUUAAGAACACGUCUGCCCUGUUGUAUGAUUCAGCAUACUACUAGCUGUAUGCCCAAGAGAAUUAAAAACAUAUGUCCGGGGCUUCCCUGUUGGCUCAGUGGUAA